rnacentral:lncRNA from 1 species
AAACACCCAACCGCGCAGCCCACGCUGCGGGGCCACGACUUGGCCGGAUUUAUGUUCAUGGCUGAGGAUGCCAUGGGCCGAGUAAGAAGGAGAACCGCCACCCAACCACGCAGCCAAGAGCAACCCAGGGAUCCCUCCUCUGCUUGCUCCCCUCCCCCACCCCUGCUGUACCUUCUGCGCAGCCAUCUCGGUAACGGGCGUCAGGGGCGCUCGGCGGCCUGCUGUCCAAGCUGGGGUCAGGAGCCUGGCGGUAGCAAAGAGCAUCACCGAAAGGAAGCUGGUAGGCUAGCGAGGCCAGCCCCAAAGACCCACAGAUACACGCGCUGCUCCGAACUCGCGGGCCCGCGGCGUCCACUAAUGAGAUGAACCUGGGCGCGCAGCGGCUGGACCUCAGCUGCUAGGGCGCCGCCAAGGCCCUGCUGGACACCUUCUGGUACCUGGGCCUCGUGUAUUACACCUGUGGCUGCCGCCGAGGCGCGGUUCAAUUUGAAGUCUGAGCCCCUACAGGCCCGUGAAUCCUGGAUUACAACUGCAGUUUGUGCAAGAAGCAGCAGCACCUGCACUUCCACUUAGCAACCUCCGGCUUCACGCUCCUCCAGGGCGCAGAGAGCAUCAAAGCAUUAUCACCGACCCAACACACACCGGCGCUGCGUAGUUUCUGCAGCAGGUGUGGGGUGAAGAGUUGCCACACAGCUGUCUGACACCGGGUGUACGGCGUCACCCCUCACUUCCUGGACAAGGCAACAUUUUCCUAAAGGUCAAAGGAGAAAAAUCCUAUCAUCUGAGGUGCUGAACAAAGAAUUCAAUAAAUUCAAUCAAUCUGAUGCACUCUGCAGUCGUUCUAAGUUCUUGUCUACUAAAAUCCUCGACUACUACACAUCCACAAUCGCUUCUGUGAAACUCUUGGGACCAAAUGGUUCAGAAUUUGUCUCCCAUACAUACAUAAUAUCUAUGUCAAGGCCUGUAGUAAUACUGUGGAAUCUAAUACAAUGAUAUUUCUGUAGUGAAACAUACAAAUGUUCACUCCAAGAUCUAAAGAUUACAAAUAGCAUCAUGUCAGUUCAAAUCAGGUUUUAUGGAUAAAUGAGUCAGGAAAAGUAUGUUUUUCAAAGCAUUUUGAAUGUUAGACUUGUGCACAAGGGAUUGUGAGUCUGAAUCAUAUUUCCGUCAAC